rnacentral:rRNA from 1 species
GAUGAACGCUGGCGGCGUGCCUAAUACAUGCAAGUCGAGCGAACCACUUCGGUGGUGAGCGGCGAACGGGUGAGUAACACGUAGGUUAUCUGCCCAUCAGACGGGGACAACGAUUGGAAACGAUCGCUAAUACCUGAUAGGACGAAAGUUUAAAGGUGCUUCGGCACCACUGAUGGAUGAGCCUGCGGCGCAUUAGCUAGUUGGUAGGGUAAAGGCCUACCAAGGCGACGAUGCGUAGCCGACCUGAGAGGGUGAACGGCCACACUGGGACUGAGACACGGCCCAGACUCCUACUGGAGGCAGCAGUAGGGAAUCUUCGGCAAUGGGCGAAAGCCUGACCGAGCAACGCCGCGUGAAUGAUGAAGGCCUUCGGGUUGUAAAAUUCUGUUAUAAGGGAAGAAUGGCUCUAGUAGGAAAUGGCUAGAGUGUGACGGUACCUUAUGAGAAAGCCACGGCUAACUACGUGCCAGCCGCCGCGGUAAAAC